rnacentral:tRNA from 1 species
AAGAAGGGUAAAGAAACACGGAGACUGCUAAUUAUCUGACCCUGAGGUUAAAAUCCACAGCCUUCUUA